UACAGAGGUCUCAAGCGUUGUUCGGAUUCAUUGGGCGUAAAGGGUGCGUAGGUGGCGCCAUAAGUCAGGUGUGAAAUCUCGGGGCUCAACCCCGAAACUGCACUUGAUACUGUGGUGCUCGAGUACUGGAGAGGAGAUUGGAAUUUACGGUGUAGCAGUGAAAUGCGUAGAUAUUAUCAGGAACACCAAUGGCGAAAGGCAGCUUGCUGGGCCAUAUCUGACACUGAGACACGAAAGCGUGGGGAGCGAACAGG
rnacentral:rRNA from 1 species